rnacentral:rRNA from 1 species
AUAUGAAGGCGGGCUGGAAUCUCUCGGGGUUACAGCCUUGCUGAAUUAUUCACCCUUGUCUUUUGCGUACUUCUUGUUUCCUUGGUGGGUUCGCCCACCACUAGGACAAACAUAAACCUUUUGUAAUUGCAAUCAGCGUCAGUAACAAAUUAAUAAUUACAACUUUCAACAACGGAUCUCUUGGUUCUGGCAUCGAUGAAGAACGCAGCGAAAUGCGAUAAGUAGUGUGAAUUGCAGAAUUCAGUGAAUCAUCGAAUCUUUGAACGCACAUUGCGCCCUUUGGUAUUCCAAAGGGCAUGCCUGUUCGAGCGUCAUUUGUACCCUCAAGCUUUGCUUGGUGUUGGGCGUCUUGUCUCUAGCUUUGCUGGAGACUCGCCUUAAAGUAAUUGGCAGCCGGCCUACUGGUUUCGGAGCGCAGCACAAGUCGCACUCUCUAUCAGCAAAGGUCUAGCAUCCAUUAAGCCUUUUUUCAACUUUUGACCUCGGAUCAGGUAGGGAUACCCGCUGAACUUAAGCAUAUCAAUAAAGCGGAGGAAAA